GAUGAACGCUGGCGGCGUGCCUAAUACAUGCCAGUCGAGCGAACAGACGAGGAGCUUGCUCCUCUGACGUUAGCGGCGGACGGGUGAGUAACACGUGGAUAACCUACCUAUAAGACUGGGAUAACUUCGGGAAACCGGAGCUAAUACCGGAUAAUAUAUUGAACCGCAUGGUUCAAUAGUGAAAGACGGUUUUGCUGUCACUUAUAGAUGGAUCCGCGCCGCAUUAGCUAGUUGGUAAGGUAACGGCUUACCAAGGCAACGAUGCGUAGCCGACCUGAGAGGGUGAUCGGCCACACUGGACCUGAGCCACGGCCCAGCCUCCUACGGGAGGCAGCAGUAGGGAAUCUUCCGCAAUGGGCGAAAGCCUGACGGAGCAACGCCGCGUGAGUGAUGAAGGUCUUCGGAUCGUAAAACUCUGUUAUUAGGGAAGAACAAAUGUGUAAGUAACUAUGCACGCCUGGACGGUACCUAAUCAGAAGGCCACGGCUAACUACGU
rnacentral:rRNA from 1 species